UAGUUAAUUCAUGUUCUGCCUAAGACUCAGGUGGCGAAAGCCUUAAUUAAUGCCUGCCGAGGAAAUUAUUAUCAAUAUGAUAGUACUUUGCUCUCUGUGUCGGGUGGACACGGGGAUUUUUUUAUCCCAAA
rfam:Lactobacillus oryzae DNA, contig: sequence20, strain: SG293.